UACGAAGGGGGCUAGCGUUGCUCGGAAUCACUGGGCGUAAAGCGCACGUAGGCGGAUUGUUAAGUCAGGGGUGAAAUCCUGGAGCUCAACUCCAGAACUGCCUUUGAUACUGGCGAUCUCGAGUCCGGGAGAGGUGAGUGGAACUGCGAGUGUAGAGGUGAAAUUCGUAGAUAUUCGCAAGAACACCAGUGGCGAGGGCGGCUCACUGGCCCGGUACUGACGCUGAGGUGCGAAAGCGUGGGGAGCAAACA
rnacentral:rRNA from 1 species